rnacentral:rRNA from 1 species
UCCCAGAGCUUAACUCUGGAACUGCCAUCAAAACUUUUCAGCUAGAGUAUGAUAGAGGAAAGCAGAAUUUCUAGUGUAGAGGUGAAAUUCGUAGAUAUUAGAAAGAAUACCAAUUGCGAAGGCAGCUUUCUGGAUCAUUACUGACACUGAGGAACGAAAGCAUGGGUAGCGAAGAGGAUUAGAUACCCUCGUAGUCCAUGCCGUAAACGAUGUGUGUUAGACGUUGGAAAUUUAUUUUCAGUGUCGCAGGGAAACCGAUAAACACACCGCCUGGGGAGUACGACCGCAAGGUUAAAACUCAAAUGAAUUGACGGGGACCCGCACAAGUAGUGGAGCAUGUGGUUUAAUUCGAAGAUACGCGCAGAACCUUACCAACACUUGACAUGUUCGUCGCGACUCUAAGAGAUUAGAGUUUUCGGUUCGGCCGGACGAAACACAGGUGCUGCAUGGCUGUCGUCAGCUCGUGUCGUGAGAUGUUGGGUUAAGUCCCGCAACGAGCGCAACCCUCACUUUUAGUUGCCAUCAUUAAGUUGGGCACUCUGAAAGAACUGCCAGUGAUAAGCUGGAGGAAGGUGGGGAUGACGUCAAGUCCUCAUGGCCCUUACGUGUUGGGCUACACACGUGCUACAAUGACACUUACAGUGGGAAGCUAAGACGCGAGUCCAAGCUAAUCCCUAAAAUGUGUCUCAGUUCGGAUUGCACUCUGUAACUCGAGUGCAUGAAGCUGGAAUUACUAGUAAUCGCGGAUCAGCGCGCCGCGGUGAAUACGUUCCCGGGUCUUGUACACACCGCCCGUCACACCA